rnacentral:hammerhead_ribozyme from 1 species
ACCAAAUGACGAGUCCCAAAUGGGACGAAAUGCGCGUUAUCCUGGAU